GAUGAACGCUGACAGAAUGCUUAACACAUGCAAGUCUACUUGAACUUCGGUUUGGGUGGCGGACGGGUGAGUAACGCGUAAAGAACUUGCCUCACAGUUAGGGACAACAUUUGGAAACGAAUGCUAAUACCUGAUAUUAUGAUUUUAGGGCAUCCUAGGAUUAUGAAAGCUAUAUGUGCUGUGAGAGAGCUUUGCGUCCCAUUAGCUAGUUGGAGAGGUAACGGCUCACCAAGGCGAUGAUGGGUAGCCGGCCUGAGAGGGUGAACGGCCACAAGGGGACGGAGACACGGCCCUUACUCCUACGGGAGGCAGCAGUGGGGAAUAUUGGACAAUGGACCAAAAGUCUGAUCCAGCAAUUCUGUGUGCACGAUGACGUUUUUCGGAAUGUAAAGUGCUUUCAGUUGAGAAGAAAAAAAUGACGGUACCAACAGAAGAAGUGACGGCUAAAUACGUG
rnacentral:rRNA from 1 species